rnacentral:lncRNA from 1 species
UCUUUUUCUCUCCUUCCUCUUUUUUGGGCUCUUCUGCUUUUUUGGGAUCUUCCUUUUUCCCCUCUUCUUUCUUCGGUUCCUCCUUACCUUCUUCCUUUUUCGGUUCCUCUUUGCCUUCCUCCUUUUUGGGUUCCUCUUUCUUGGCUUCGUCCUUCUUAGCUUCUUCUUUCUUCGGUUCCUCUUUCUUCUCGGGCUCUUUUGCUGGACCUACUGAUAUUAUGUCUGUCGACUUCCAAAACUUGCGCAAUUUGCUCACAACAGUCACUGGAUCCACCGUUCCAGU